rnacentral:rRNA from 1 species
UACGAAGGGGGCUAGCGUUGUUCGGAAUUACUGGGCGUAAAGCGCGUGUAGGCGGCUAUGUAAGUCGGGCGUGAAAUCCCACGGCUCAACCGUGGAAGUGCACUCGAAACUGCAUAGCUAGAGUCCUGGAGAGGAAGGUGGAAUGCUUGGUGUAGAGGUGAAAUUCGUAGAUAUCAAGCGGAACACCGGUGGCGAAGGCGGCCUUCUGGACAGUGACUGACGCUGAGACGCGAAAGCGUGGGGAGCAAACAGG